rnacentral:rRNA from 1 species
AUUUGCGCAGGAUAGGUGGGAGGCUUUGAUGGUAUUUUUGCGGAAAUAUCGGAGCCAUUGGUGAGAUACCACUCUUGUAAAGCUAGAAUUCUAACCUUAUAUCGUAAUCCGGUUAAGGAACAGUCUCUGGUGGGCAGUUUGACUGGGGCGGUCGCCUCCCAAAAGGUAACGGAGGCGCACAAAGGUUUCCUCAGAUCGGUCAGAAAUCGAUCGUAGAGCGUAAAGGCAUAAGGAAGCUUGACUGCGAGACCUACAAGUCGAGCAGAGACGAAAGUCGGUCUUAGUGAUCUGACGGUUCCGAGUGGAAGGGCCGUCACUCAACGGAUAAAAGUUACUCUAGGGAUAACAGGCU